rnacentral:rRNA from 1 species
AGGCUUAACACAUGCAAGUCGAGCGGGCAUAGCAAUGUCAGCGGCAGACGGGUGAGUAACGCGUGGGAACGUACCUUUUGGUUCGGAACAACUUAGGGAAACUUGAGCUAAUACCGGAUAAGCCCUUACGGGGAAAGAUUUAUCGCCGAAAGAUCGGCCCGCGUCUGAUUAGCUAGUUGGUGAGGUAAUGGCUUACCAAGGCGACGAUCAGUAGCUGGUCUGAGAGGAUGAUCAGCCACAUUGGGACUGAGACACGGCCCAAACUCCUACGGGAGGCAGCAGUGGGGAAUAUUGGACAAUGGGCGCAAGCCUGAUCCAGCCAUGCCGCGUGAGUGAUGAAGGCCCUAGGGUUGUAAAGCUCUUUUGUGCGGGAAGAUAAUGACGGUACCGCAAGAAUAAGCCCCGGCUAACUUCGUGCCAGCAGCCGCGGUAAUACGAAGGGGGCUAGCGUUGCUCGGAAUCACUGGGCGUAAAGGGUGCGUAGGCGGGUCUUUAAGUCAAGGGUGAAAUCCUGGAGCU